UACGUAGGGGGCUAGCGUUGUCCGGAAUCAUUGGGCGUAAAGAGCGUGUAGGCGGUUCGGUAAGUCCGCUGUGAAAGUCCAGGGCUCAACCCUGGAAUGCCGGUGGAUACUGUCGGGCUAGAGUCCGGAAGAGGCGAGUGGAAUUCCUGGUGUAGCGGUGAAAUGCGCAGAUAUCAGGAGGAACACCAAUUGCGAAGGCAGCUCGCUGGGACGUAACUGACGCUGAGACGCGAAAGCGUGGGGAGCAAACAGG
rnacentral:rRNA from 1 species